rnacentral:lncRNA from 1 species
UCCCCAAUCUAUCCUGAGGUUUAGCUUCAGAAAGAAUAACUAGCAAGUCUCCUUCUCUAACUGCUGUCUGAUAGGAACAAACAAGAUGCUCUUGCGCGAGCUGGCAUCACGAACAAGGCAAAUGUAACCUUUCUGGGGCUGUUGACUCACAGCAGUCAUCCAUGGGCCCCCCACAAUCUGCUUGGUGACACAGAUGCUGCUGUCCAUCAUUCAUUCCUCCCAUGGGGGCAAGAGCAGGUCCAGCCCAUGGCUCAUCAGUGAAUACAAACACCCUGGGAUUCACUCUAACCAUCUGAAGAUUCUGGUUGAACCUUCAUCUGUACAACCAGCUGCCAUUUAUUCACGGCCUUCUACGUAUAACACCUAUGGGAGGUUUUCUGUUCAUAACCUGUUUGUUGAAACAGCAGGGCUUGUGGGGUAUGAUCCUAACUCUUGAGCACUUCCAGGACUGGUCUUCCUUGUCUCUGAAUGAAGGUCAGACAGGCCCUAGAGCUCAUCUGCUUAUCUGCAGGUAAGAAAAACAUGACGUCUUGAUCCCCCAAACCAUUUCAGUUCAGUAAUGGAUAUGUCUAGUCCAGUGCAAGGGUCAGACCUCUGGACUUCACUACCUCAGGUUCGCUGCUGGCAGAAGCAGCUGGGAAAGGACCAGAGCAGCUUCUAGAGUUUACUCUAAGCGAGUGGGAACCCUGACCUCCAACUCCUUCCCCAGCCAGCCACUCUGCCCACCUCCCAGGGUUGGCAAGGGCACAGAGGGGCGGUGAUGGGGAGGAAAAGGUCUCACUUGACCGGGACUGCUGUGAGUUGAUUUCUGCUCGCUUCCACUCCCUCCUCGGCUGUUAGCAUGAACUUUGGACCUGUCUCCAUUGGCUCCUAAACAGAACAAAACCUUUAUAGGAAGAAGGGAAAAAAGACCUCCUCUGCCUUCAGACACAGCCUUAUGGGUGCUCAGCUUACUGUCUUUUGCAAGUUAGAAAAACACUUCCCUGGUGGCCCAGUGGCUAAGACUGUCUUCCCAAUGCAGGAGGCCUAGUUCGAUCCCUGGUCNNNNNNNNNNNNNNNNNNNNNNNNNNNNNNNNNNNNNNNNNNNNNNNNNNNNNNNNNNNNNNCAACUUAGAAUUCUCAUGCUGCAACCAGAGAUCUUGCAUGCUGCAACAAAGACAGGAGAUCCCACGUGCCGAAACUAAGACCCAGCGCAGCCAGAUAAAUAAAUAUUCGUUUUUUAAAAAAGCCUUCUCCUUCUACAUUUUUGCAAGCACAUAGUGGUGUGCCCACCCUGAGAGAGGCGUGUGGCUCUGCAUUCUGCAAAAUGCACUCUCUUGAAACUUUGUCCGAUGCACUGAAUGUCUGCCUGUCUGUGGGGACCCUGUGUGCACAAUCUCUCACCUGUGCUUCUCCGGCACCAGACUUGCCUGUCUAAUUGUGCAGUGAUGAUGUUCCCUCUGGCUUUGACUCAGUGUGGUUCACCUCCACAAACUGGGUCUCACCAUCCCUCCAAGAAGCCUUCUUAGGCAAAGCGUCUUUCAUAUAUCUCUAGGUCAGCACGUUCUCUCUCACUCUCCCCCCACCUUCUUCUCCUUCACCAAGGAAAACUCUGGACUUUUGUGGGGGUGCAGCUGCUUUUCAGACUGCAUCCAUCUUCAGUCGGCCUUCCACCCCUUACAUUUCUCAGGCACAGGUCAGACUCUAGUCCACAAGAAUUCCAUUCUCCAUGGGACACAGAUCAUGCUCGCAAGUGUUCUCCUCAAAGCUCUUCCACUAGGCUUUAGAUCAGGGAACACGGUCCUCUUACCCCCAUGGAGUGGGGAGAAUAAAAUGCCAUAGCUCUCCAUCAUCUCAUUGUAGAGAAAUCCUCCUCUCUUAUUCCUACUCUCUUCAUAUGUUACCUUGAAUCCUCUUGGACCCUCAAGUUAGGUGAGAGGCUAA